rnacentral:rRNA from 1 species
UACGUAGGGGGCAAGCGUUGUCCGGAAUCAUUGGGCGUAAAGAGCGUGUAGGCGGUUCGGUAAGUCGGCUGUGAAAGUCCAGGGCUCAACCCUGGGAUGCCGGUCGAUACUGCCGGACUAGAGUUCGGAAGAGGAGAGUGGAAUUCCCGGUGUAGCGGUGAAAUGCGCAGAUAUCGGGAAGAACACCCGUGGCGAAGGCGGCUCUCUGGGACGGUACUGACGCUGAGACGCGAAAGCGUGGGGAGCGAACAGG